rnacentral:rRNA from 1 species
CCCCUUUAGUAACGGCGAGUGAAGCGGCAAAAGCUCAAAUUUGAAAUCUGGUACCUUCGGUGCCCGAGUUGUAAUUUGGAGAGGGCAACUUUGGGGCCGUUCCUUGUCUAUGUUCCUUGGAACAGGACGUCAUAGAGGGUGAGAAUCCCGUGUGGCGAGGAGUGCGGUUCUUUGUAAAGUGCCUUCGAAGAGUCGAGUUGUUUGGGAAUGCAGCUCUAAGUGGGUGGUAAAUUCCAUCUAAAGCUAAAUAUUGGCGAGAGACCGAUAGCGAACAAGUACAGUGAUGGAAAGAUGAAAAGAACUUUGAAAAGAGAGUGAAAAAGUACGUGAAAUUGUUGAAAGGGAAGGGCAUUUGAUCAGACAUGGUGUUUUGUGCCCUCUGCUCCUUGUGGGUAGGGGAAUCUCGCAUUUCACUGGGCCAGCAUCAGUUUUGGUGGCAGGAUAAAUCCAUAGGAAUGUAGCUUGCCUCGGUAAGUAUUAUAGCCUGUGGGAAUACUGCCAGCUGGGACUGAGGACUGCGACGUAAGUCAAGGAUGCUGGCAUAAUGGUUAUAUGCCGCCCGUCUUGAACCACCCGAACCAA